rnacentral:lncRNA from 1 species
AUUUGGUCCUUGCUUGUUGGGUGGCCAGGAAAUAACAGCUUUGCACAGGCUGCUCAAGAGGCUGCUUCUGAAGAAACCCAACAGUAGACUCUGGUGUGAAGAACAAAGACACACAGCUUGAGCCUGGGGAUGGACACCUCCCAGCAGCCCUGGCUGCCACUCACUGCUGUGCUGCAGCCUGAGAUGAGAAUACUGAUGUUCAGAGCAACCGACUGAACCCCUGGAAGUCACUCAUACUGAAAAUGGCAAAGCAGUAUCUGCCCCUGCUCUGUCCAAUGCUAACAGGACUGCUGAGGCCUCCCCUCCACCUCGCCUCAAGUUGACAUUGGGCCUGUGGAAAUAGACCUCUAAGCCAGCCUUUCUUGCUAGUUUGGUUUUAGCCUUUCUUGGACUCAGCUUUGCCAUCUGUGAAAUAUGUGAGUCAUCUAGAUAGUGUCUGAAACCUACCAGCUCCAAGUCUAUGGUCCACGGAUGGGCUGUGAGGACAAUCAAGACUGAGGCAGGUUUUCACUCAAGUCCUGGAAUAUCUGGUCAUCCUUCCAGGGUUCUUCAUGGCAGGGAAACAAAAUCAACAACUGAAGAACAUGAGGUUCAGGAGAUUUAAGUCUGAGUUCCAGUGUUGGCUUUGGGUGCCUCUAAUCAACCACAAAUCUAUCCCAAGCCCGAGGCAGGCUGGUCUUACUCAACAUUUAUGGGGUCUUGCAGGGCUUAUGAGUGAGCUCAUGUGGGUGAGCUGUGGGUACCACAGGACCAGCACAGAUUGCUCCAGCACAUUGUCCAGCCACGAGACAGAAUUUCCCUCUUACAGAUCCAUUGAAUAGCCCUGGCCUGUGGGUUUGCUGUAAAGAUGCAAAAGCCCUGAAGCAUUAUCUGCCAAACCUCAGCCCUGACCAUGGUUAGGCUGACAUCAGGGGAGGCAGCAGGAGAGGGAGAGAAAAGGGUAUCUCAUUGUGGAACUGGGGCAGUGGUGGGCAGGGGCUGAUGCAGGAGGGGUGCCAUGGCCCAACUGCUCUUCACCCACGGUCCUUACACAGACCUGAUCCUGCUAAUUCUGACUCAGCUUUCAGACUCAGCCUGCGGACACUCAAUUUUUAGUAAUAAGCAGUCUCCUCAUAAUUUACUAUAUAGCAAAAUAAAUUUUUAAAAGAUAUUAAUAGUUGGCACCAGAGUCUCUUCACUUCAUUUAUUCAUUUUUACAACAAACAUCUAUUGAGCCCCUGGGAUGUGCUUGUGCUCUUUUGGGCUGUGCAGAUUUAACGGUAAAGAUAACAAUGUUCCAGUCCUACUCAAGUUUGCAUUCUGAUGCAGAGAAAGACAAUUAUAAAUCAUAAAAUAUGUAUAAUAUCAGUUAAGGAUUGGUGCUUGGAAUAAAAUAAAGAAGUAGAGAGGGGGAAAUUGGUCAUUUUUGAUAUGAUGGUCCAAGAAGCCUACUGAGGUAACAUGUAGCAGAGAUGAUUUUUAAGGAAAUGACUUUGAUCAGCAACAUGAGAUUGGUAUUGGAAUAUCGAGGACAUAAG